UACGGGGGGGGCAAGCGUUGUUCGGAAUUACUGGGCGUAAAGGGCUCGUAGGCGGCCAACUAAGUCGGAUGUGAAAUCCCCAGGCUUAACCUGGGAACUGCAUCCGAUACUGGAUGGCUUGAAUUCGGGAGAGGGAUGCAGAAUUCCAGGUGUAGCGGUGAAAUGCGUAGAUAUCUGUAGGAACACCGGAGGCGAAGGCGGCUAACUGGUGGAGCAUUGACGCUGAGGCGCGAAAGCGCGGGUAGCAAACAGG
rnacentral:rRNA from 1 species